AGUGGCUACAUUCCCGCACACCCGAAUACUUUACAGAGUGCACCCGAGCCAGUACGGGCUGUAAUUUCAGUCAGAAGCACCGACCAGCACUUCGCCCUCACCUCACCUCCAGCAUGCACCCCCACCCUAUGCCACCCCUUAGAAAGCGAUGGAAGGAUCUUGCCAAGGUUCCUUGUUUUAACUAGGGACCUUAGAUCUUGCUGCCCUGCCCGCAGUGGAACAAUAAUAUUUAGAAUUCCAGUGUAAUUUCUUGAGCACUUAUUACCAUUUAGUGAAUAUAAUCUUAGAGACAGCCCCAUAGCUAAACCUUUUUCCACAAAGGUAUAUGUCCACUUUUUUGGUUAAUACUUUAAGCAGCUGUGCAGUGUUCAGCUGUUUCCCGUGAUAUUCAAAGUACAAUGUAGCUGUGGUAACAUGUGGGGCUAAUUUCAAAGCAAAGCAAAAGCUUGACAAGUAGUUGAGCAACCCCAGAAGAACAAUAAAGUAAAAAUGUUACUGUAACGUUAACAGACAGCUAGAGAUGACAGACGAAGUGUCGAAUGCUGCUAUUCUGGUGGAAA